rnacentral:rRNA from 1 species
CCUACGGGGGGCAGCAGUGGGGAAUAUUGGACAAUGGGCGAAAGCCUGAUCCAGCCAUGCCGCGUGUGUGAAGAAGGCCUUCGGGUUGUAAAGCACUUUCAGUGGGGAAGAAAGCCUUGGGGCUAAUACCCUCGAGGAAGGACAUCACCCACAGAAGAAGCACCGGCUAACUCCGUGCCAGCAGCCGCGGUAAUACGGAGGGUGCGAGCGUUAAUCGGAAUUACUGGGCGUAAAGCGCGCGUAGGCGGUCUGAUAAGCCGGUUGUGAAAGCCCCGGGCUCAACCUGGGAACGGCAUCCGGAACUGUCAGGCUAGAGUGCAGGAGAGGAAGGUAGAAUUCCCGGUGUAGCGGUGAAAUGCGUAGAGAUCGGGAGGAAUACCAGUGGCGAAGGCGGCCUUCUGGACUGACACUGACGCUGAGGUGCGAAAGCGUGGGUAGCAAACAGGAUUAGAUACCCGAGUGUC